UACGUAGGGACCAAGCGUUGUUCGGAUUUACUGGGCGUAAAGCGCGUGUAGGCGGCUUUGCAAGUCGGAUGUGAAAGCCCACGGCUCAACCGUGGAAGUGCAUCCGAAACUGCAUGGCUUGAGUCUCGGAGAGGAAGGUGGAAUGCUUGGUGUAGAGGUGAAAUUCGUAGAUAUCAAGCAGAACACCUGCGGCGAAGGCGGCCUUCUGGACGAUGACUGACGCUGAGACGCGAAAGCGUGGGGAGCAAACAGG
rnacentral:rRNA from 1 species